GGGUAUAGCUCAGUGGUAGAGCACAUGCUUAGCGUGCACGAGGUCCUGGGAUCAAUCCCCAGUGCCUCCA
rnacentral:tRNA from 1 species